rnacentral:rRNA from 1 species
GACGAACGCUGGCGGCGUGCUUAACACAUGCAAGUCGAACGGAAAGGCCCUGCUUUUGUGGGGUGCUCGAGUGGCGAACGGGUGAGUAACACGUGAGUAACCUGCCCUUGACUUUGGGAUAACUUCAGGAAACUGGGGCUAAUACCGGAUAGGAGCUCCUGCUGCAUGGUGGGGGUUGGAAAGUUUCGGCGGUUGGGGAUGGACUCGCGGCUUAUCAGCUUGUUGGUGGGGUAGUGGCUUACCAAGGCUUUGACGGGUAGCCGGCCUGAGAGGGUGACCGGCCACAUUGGGACUGAGAGACGGCCCAGAAGCGUACGGGAGGCAGCAGUGGGGAAUAUUGCACAAUGGGCGGAAGCCUGAUGCAGCAACGCCGCGUGCGGGAUGACGGCCUUCGGGUUGUAAACCGCUUUCGCCUGUGACGAAGCGUGAGUGACGGUAAUGGGUAAAGAAGCACCGGCUAACUACGUG